GAUCAUGGCUCAGGACGAACGCUGGCGGCGUGCUUAACACAUGCAAGUCGAACGGAAAGAGAUGAAAGAGCUUGCUAUUUUAUUAAUUUCAGUGGCAAACGGGUGAGUAACACGUAAACAACCUGCCUUAAGGAUGGGGAUAACAGACGGAAACGACUGCUAAUACCGAAUACGUUCUAAGCAUCGCAUGGUGCAUAGAAGAAAGGGUGGCCCUCUACAAGAAAGCUAUCGCCUUAAGAGGGGUUUGCG
rnacentral:rRNA from 1 species